AAAACCACAUUAAUUUUAACCCAAGCCUAGAGAUCCAAACCCAAAGGAUUUCCUAGACUAGCCGAGUUGAUCCGAAGAAUAUUUUCAUCAGCAACUUUCUUCAUUCAUCAAUCUAGCCAUUGACUCUUCACCGGCAGCACUUCAAAAGCUUUUGAAGGAGAACAACAGGUAGCUUAGAAAACUCACAUAGACGGAGAUGCAUAUUAAUAUCAGAUGGAGUGCAUGAGCACCCAUUUGAUCCAAAAGCCUUCAUGCUCA
rnacentral:misc_RNA from 1 species